CCGGUAUAGUGGUUAGUAACGCUGACUGAGGAUCCGUAGGGCCUGGGUUCGAAUCCCGAGAAGAAGGC